AGCCCAGAGCCUGAAUCAGUGUGUGUGUUAGUGGAAGCGUCUGGAAAGGCGCGCGAUACAGGGUGACAGCCCCGUACACAAAAAUGCACAUGCUGUGAGCUCGAUGAGUAGGGCGGGACACGUGGUAUCCUGUCUGAAUAUGGGGGGACCAUCCUCCAAGGCUAAAUACUCCUGACUGACCGAUAGUGAACCAGUACCGUGAGGGAAAGGCGAAAAGAACCCCGGCGAGGGGAGUGAAAAAGAACCUGAAACCGUGUACGUACAAGCAGUGGGAGCACGCUUAGGCGUGUGACUGCGUACCUUUUGUAUAAUGGGUCAGCGACUUAUAUUCUGUAGCAAGGUUAACCGAAUAGGGGAGCCGAAGGGAAACCGAGUCUUAACUGGGCGUUAAGUUGCAGGGUAUAGACCCGAAACCCGGUGAUCUAGCCAUGGGCAGGUUGAAGGUUGGGUAACACUAACUGGAGGACCGAACCGACUAAUGUUGAAAAAUUAGCGGAUGACUUGUGGCUGGGGGUGAAAGGCCAAUCAAACCGGGAGAUAGCUGGUUCUCCCCGAAAGCUAUUUAGGUAGCGCCUCGUGAAUUCAUCUCCGGGGGUAGAGCACUGUUUCGGCAAGGGGGUCAUCCCGACUUACCAACCCGAUGCAAACUGCGAAUACCGGAGAAUGUUAUCACGGGAGACACACGGCGGGUGCUAACGUCCGUCGUGAAGAGGGAAACAACCCAGACCGCCAGCUAAGGUCCCAAAGUCAUGGUUAAGUGGGAAACGAUGUGGGAAGGCCCAGACAGCCAGGAUGUUGGCUUAGAAGCAGCCAUCAUUUAAAGAAAGCGUAAUAGCUCACUGGUCGAGUCGGCCUGCGCGGAAGAUGUAACGGGGCUAAACCAUGCACCGAAGCUGCGGCAGCGAC
rnacentral:rRNA from 1 species